CAUCCACGACUCGUUGCUCAUGCAACUAGCCCAAGUCAUAUAUUCCUUAUACCGAUGCCUUCACAGCCCGCAUUUUCUCCGGGUAGCGGAUGGCACGUCCUCUUCGGCUCUUGAGCCUGAGUUCUGUAACUGCCCGCGCAAUUCGGGCAGCUGUAACAUCCUUCCUGUCAAGUCUCAACAGCUUCUACUUUCACAGACAAUACCAGAGCAGGAAAGUCGCCAAAACCAUUGUAUGAUAAUAAAAAAUUAUAAAUAAAAAAAGAGAGCUAGAGCUACCUAUAAAUAAAACCCAGGCGUGGACUCAUUUUUACGCAAUUUUUCACUUCACUCUCUGAUCUCUGUUUACGAGAGAGUCCGUGUGGUUUAAGAUGCUGUGAAAUUGAUUUUCGAGUUUGUUUUCUUUGGAUUGAUUUUUUUUAAAAUAUUUUUGGAGUUUUCGUUUAGUUAGAUCUUCGAUUUUUAGGGCACAAAAUGUGGAAACUUACGCGAUUCGCGUCUUCCAGUUUGCGCCGAUCACGGAGGUUCUCGACGGCGAUACCUGGUCCAUGUAUUGUUCACAAGCGUGGAGCUGAUAUUCUCCAUGAUCCUUGGUUCAAUAAGGAUACUGGGUUUCCUUUGACUGAAAGAGAUCGACUAGGGCUGCGAGGCCUCCUUCCACCUCGUGUUAUAUCAUUUAACCAGCAAUAUGCUCGUUUUAUGGAUUCAUAUCGAUCACUGGAGAAAAAUACUCAGGGACAACCGAAUAGUGUUGUGUCCUUAGCAAAAUGGAGGAUCUUGAAUAGACUUCAUGAUAGGAAUGAGACACUGUACUAUCGAGUCCUUAUCGACAACAUCAAGGAUUUUGCUCCGAUAAUAUACACUCCAACUGUAGGGCUGGUAUGCCAAAAUUAUUCAGGCCUAUUUCGACGUCCCCGUGGAAUGUAUUUUAGUGCAAAGGAUAAAGGAGAGAUGAUGUCAAUGAUCUAUAACUGGCCAGCUCAGCAGGUGGACAUGAUAGUCCUAACAGAUGGAAGUCGUAUUCUUGGCCUAGGUGACCUUGGUGUUCAAGGAAUUGGUAUACCCAUUGGAAAGCUUGAUAUGUAUGUUGCUGCUGCUGGUAUCAACCCACAGAAAGUAUGUGUCUCAUUCUCUCUCUCUUACCUUGGUGUGCUAUGUGCUAGUUGCUUCUCAUAUGUACAAGUGUAUACACAUUUGUUGUAUAGAUGACGCAAAGGUUUUACUAUACUUUAUGCAAUAAUGUGCCAAUGGCUAUGAUGCAUGAGGAUAGUUCACUGAAGUUGCUUAUCAGCCAGCCACCUCUAAAAAUGUGAAGCUGAAUUUUCCCAUUAUUUCCACUUAUUUAUCAUACUUGCAUAAAUAUCUAUACCAAGUGAGUUCCCUGACAAUAUGGCCUUAAAGCUCUGAAAAUUUAGAGUCUAUUUUAACUUUGGAGAUCAUUUAUUAUUCAACUCUUUCUCCUUUCCACAUAUUCUUAGUUUACCUAUUGAUUAUGUUAUCACUUCUCUUAUUCAAUCUAUAUCUAUGUAUAAUAGAUACUACCAGUUAUGCUGGAUGUUGGUACAAACAAUCAAAAGCUACUCGAGGAUCGUCUUUAUUUAGGACUUCGACAACCUAGGCUGGAAGGAGAAGAGUAUCUAUCUAUUGUUGAUGAGUUCAUGGAAGCUGUUUUCACGCGUUGGCCCAAGGCCAUUGUACAGUUUGAGGAUUUUCAAAUGAAGUGGGCGUUUGAAACUCUGCAAAGAUAUCGUAAAAGGUUUUGCAUGUUUAAUGAUGAUAUACAGGGAACUGCUGGUGUUGCACUUGCAGGAUUGCUGGGGACUGUGAGAGCCCAAGGACAACCAUUGUCUGACUUUGUGAACCAAAAGAUAGUUGUAGUUGGUGCUGGGAGUGCAGGACUUGGCGUCCUGAAUAUGGCUAUAGAGGCUGUUUCAAGGAUCUCUGGGAAAAAUGAAGGUGCUGUAAAGAAUCGAUUUUUCCUACUUGAUAAAGAUGGUCUCAUCACAAAAGAGAGGAAAAACAUUGAUCCGGCAGCAGCACCAUUUGCUAAAGACUUAAAAGAUGUUGAGGGGCUUAGGGAGGGAGCUAGUCUAGUUGAAGUUGUAAGACUCCUAGAGCUCCUUUACUCAGACUUAAUGAGUACAAGGCUGAUAUUUUAUGGCACAAAAAGCAUUAGUUUGAACUACUUAACUUUAGAGUUAAAAAGUUAAAGCCCCAUGUGCUUCUUGGGUUGUCUGGAGUUGGUGGGAUCUUUAAUGAAGA
rnacentral:misc_RNA from 1 species